AGGACGAACGCUGGCGGCGUGCUUAACACAUGCAAGUCGAGCGGAAAGGCCCUUCGGGGUACUCGAGCGGCGAACGGGUGAGUAACACGUGAGCAAUCUGCCCUUAGCUUCGGGAUAGCUCCGGGAAACCGGAAUUAAUACCGAAUACGACUACGGCCGACAUCGGCUGUGGUGGAAAGUUUUUUCGGCUAGGGAUGAGCUCGCGGCCUAUCAGCUUGUUGGUGAGGUAACGGCUCACCAAGGCGACGACGGGUA
rnacentral:rRNA from 1 species